rnacentral:rRNA from 1 species
AAUCAACGCUGGCGGCGUGCCUCAGACAUGCAAGUCGAACGAUUAAAGCUCUCUUCGGAGAGUGCAUAGAGUGGCGCACGGGUGAGUAACACGUAAGUAAUCUACCUUCGAGUGGGGAAUAACGUCCGGAAACGGGCGCUAAUACCGCAUAAUGCAGCGGCAUCGCAAGAUGACAGUUGUUAAAGGAGCAAUCCGCUUGAAGAGGAGCUUGCGGCAGAUUAGCUAGUUGGUAGGGUAAUGGCCUACCAAGGCUACGAUCUGUAACCGGUCUUAGAGGACGGUCGGUCACACUGACACUGAAUAACGGGUCAGACUCCUACGGGAGGCAGCAGUCGGGAAUUUUGGGCAAUGGGGGAAACCCUGACCCAGCAACGCCGCGUGAAGGAUGAAGUAUUUCGGUAUGUAAACUUCGAAAGAAUAGGAAGAAUUAAUGACGGUACUAUUUAUAAGGUCCGGCUAACUACGUGCCAGCAGCCGCGGUAAAGUAGACGUCUG